rnacentral:rRNA from 1 species
ACUCCUACGGGAGGCAGCAGUGGGGAAUAUUGCACAAUGGGCGCAAGCCUGAUGCAGCCAUGCCGCGUGUAUGAAGAAGGCCUUCGGGUUGUAAAGUACUUUCUAGCAGUGAGGAAGGCGGGUGUGUUAAUAGCACAUUCGUUUGACGUUAGCUGCAGAAGAAGCACCGGCUAACCUCCGUGCCAGCAGCCGCGGUAAUACGGAGGGUGCGAGCGUUAAUCGGAAUUACUGGGCGUAAAGCGCAUGCAGGUGGUUUGUUAAGUCAGAUGUGAAAGCCCGGGGCUCAACCUCGGAAUUGCAUUUGAAACUGGCAGACUAGAGUACUGUAGAGGGGGGUAGAAUUUCAGGUGUAGCGGUGAAAUGCGUAGAGAU